CAGUAGCCGCGGGAAUACAGAGGUCUCAAGCGUUGUUCGGAAUCACUGGGCGUAAAGGGUGCGUAGGUGGCGUGGUAAGUCAGAUGUGAAAGCCCGGGGCUCAACCUCGGAAUAGCAUCCGAUACUACCAUGCUAGAGUACUGAAGAGGUGACUAGAAUUCUCGGUGUAGCAGUGAAAUGCGUAGAUAUCGAGAGGAAUACCAACGGCGAAGGCAGGUCACUGGGCAGUUACUGACACUGAGGCACGAAGGCCAGGGGAGCAAACGGGAUUAGAUACCCCCGUAGUCCCUGUCUCUUAUAC
rnacentral:rRNA from 1 species